rnacentral:rRNA from 1 species
GGAAUUACUGGGCGUAAAGCGCACGCAGACGGUUUGUUAAGUCAGAUGUGAAAUCCCCGCGCUUAACGUGGGAACUGCAUUUGAAACUGGCAAGCUAGAGUCUUGUAGAGGGGGGUAGAAUUCCAGGUGUAGCGGUGAAAUGCGUAGAGAUCUGGAGGAAUACCGGUGGCGAAGGCGGCCCCCUGGACAAAGACUGACGCUCAGGUGCGAAAGCGUGGGGAGCAAACAGGAUUAGAUACCCUGGUAGUCCACGCUGUAAACGAUGUCGACUUGGAGGUUGUGCCCUUGAGGCGUGGCUUCCGGAGCUAACGCGUUAAGUCGACCGCCUGGGGAGUACGGCCGCAAGGUUAAAACUCAAAUGAAUUGACGGGGGCCCGCACAAGCGGUGGAGCAUGUGGUUUAAUUCGAUGCAACGCGAAGAACCUUACCUACUCUUGACAUCCACGGAAUUCGCCAGAGAUGGCUUAGUGCCUUCGGGAACCGUGAGACAGGUGCUGCAUGGCUGUCGUCAGCUCGUGUUGUGAAAUGUUGGGUUAAGUCCCGCAACGAGCGCAACCCUUAUCCUUUGUUGCCAGCACGUAAUGGUGGGAACUCAAAGGAGACUGCCGGUGAUAAACCGGAGGAAGGUGGGGAUGACGUCAAGUCAUCAUGGCCCUUACGAGUAGGGCUACACACGUGCUACAACGGCAUAUACAAAGAGAAGCGAACUCGCGAGAGCAAGCGGACCUCAUAAAGUAUGUCGUAGCCCGGAUUGGAGUCUGCAACUCGACUCCAUGAAGUCGGAAUCGCUAGUAAUCGUAGAUCAGAAUGCUACGGUGAAUACGUUCCCGGGCCUUGUACACACCGCCCGUCACACCAUGGGAGUGGGUUGCAAAAGAAGUAGGUAGCUUAACCUUCGGGAGGGCGCUUACCACUUUGUGAUUCAUGACUGGGGUGAAGUCUAAC